GGAGUUGGACUGUUUUUAUCCUGCGUGGUCAGUUCUAACUGCAGAUUCAUUAAUGGAUGGAUUCCUAAGUGGCUUGUCUUACAGAUCUGUAUGUAUGCUGAUGGAGAAGGUACAGAUGUGAUCGGAGCAUCAUUUUCCUAACCACCAGAAGUCUGGUGAUAUAUUCGUGGCUAGACCCAAAGGCCUUCACAGGCUUUUCCUGACUAGGAAAAUUAAAAAGACAGAAGAAAGGGAUGAAAAUGAAACAUUGGGCCAUCAGGAGACAAUGAGCAAGUAGUUAACUCUAAGGUUCAAAAAGAAUGAACUACUCUGCUACCCCGUGAAGAGGUAUUUACUUUACAUAUAUAUAAUA
rnacentral:lncRNA from 12 species